GAUGCCCCGGUAGCUCAGAGGUAGAGCUCCUGCAAUAACUAGCAGGUGUCGCAGGUUCGAAUCUUGCCUGGUGGCUA
rnacentral:tRNA from 1 species